UAUUUGUUUUCUUUCCAUCGUAUGUUCAAUAAGUUGUAGUUGUGUGGUUUAUUUCUCUUGUAUCUGUAGAACUUGAUUUUUCAUGCUUCAUUUGUUUACAUUCUUGUUUCUGAAUAUUCUUCGAGCUCAUGCUGUGUAUUAUUAAAAUCACUGUUUGACAUGUACAGUUUUACCAGCAAUGCAGGCCUUUGUGGUAUACCAGGGCUACCUACAUGUGGGCCUCACCUCUCCACUGGCUCUAAGGUUGGCAUUGCGUUGGGGGCAUUUAUAGCACUUGCACUUAUUUUCAUCUGUUCCAUAUGCUGGUGGAAAAGACGACAGAAUAUUCUUCGAGCUUAGAAGCUUGUUGCAAGGGAUGCUCCGUAUGCAAAAGCGAGGACUCACUUCGUGCAUGACGUGCAAAUGACCAGGCCCUGCAUUCAGGACCAAGCUCGAGUGGCUGCUGAGAUCAGGCCCCACUUACUCUCUUAGCUGAACUGCCAUUUGCUUUUGGUUCCACCCAUGUCAAUCCCUAUUCCAUUCGUUUAUAACCCGUCGAUUGAGGUUUUGCAAGUCACAUUCCACUGGUUCUGUCUCUAUGCAGAGCUUCCUCCUUCGACGGGAAAAUAGUUCUGAAAUCCCCCUGACAGAAUUAAUUUCUUCCUCUGUCAUGUAUGCUAUUCUCAUGUAGUUUUUGUGGUUGUAAGGUGUAUAUCAGGAGUUAAUGUAUAUUCUGCAUUCUUUCAAGGUUUCCUUAGAACAUCAUGUUUUCAUGUGUGCUGGGAACUAAAGCCUUCUUGCCUCUUUGUAAGUCAAACGGAAAUCACCACAAGGGUGUCUGCACAUGAUUUGAUUGCUAUUUGUAAUAUGAAUGCACUGUUUUCUUUCCU